GAGAAUGUCAUUCUCAUCCAAUCAGAUAUUUUAUCCAUCCUCGUAUGUAAAUUAAACGCAUGUUUGGUAUCAUGCGGUCACCGUUUCUCCCACUUUCUUCUUCUUCUCCGGCGAGUGAAGAAGAUUAGAUACUCUGAUUCCAUGGCGGGCACUUGCACCUGAUUGGCUCUUCUUCGAUAGUUGAGCUUUCCAGGUUGAUUAACCCAACAGGAGCUCCUUUCUCUGUUCGGAUCUCCACCACAAGGUCAAGAACCAGAGGCCAUGGAGUUGGUUUCACUGCACCAGCUUCCUCACGUCAGGAAGGUCCUACCUGCAUCUUUGUGAAUUGAUUCUUUCUGUGAUGUGCAAAUCAUGGUUUGGUUUUGUCAUUCUGUUUCAGAAGUGUGCGUCAGGGUUGGGUAGAAAAUGGGUAUACGGCGGGAUAUACCUUGUUUCAUGGCCAAGGAGAGAUCGGCGUUCCAAGUUUACAUAUUUCUAACCAGAAAGAAGAACAUAAGUUUUGGGGACGGUUCUCUCAAUUAGUGUUAACGAAGAAACCAGAGAUUCAUGACAUCACAGAAUUUCUACUAAUGAUUGAGGUUUAAAAGCAACGGAAUAGUUUGAAGAAGAUUAAACCGCCAAAAAAACACCAAGAAACUCAUAACAAUUCACAUAUCAAUUCCAGCACUUGUUGACUUGGUGUGUCAAUGCAAGUUAUUCUCUUCAGAAUGAUCAUAAUUUUCUUGAAUGCUUAGAGCACCCGUAGUAGGGGUUUUAGACGGGUUCAUGGGCUCGGGAUCUUAGGCCCGUGCGAUUAAAAAUAAACGGAAAAUGGGUAAUUUGUGAUGAACCGGGCCUUACGCAUGAACCCGUAUGGAGCGGAUUUUACCACGUGUCGUGCUCUCGUGUCCGCGUUGACGAGGAGGAAAGACGGGGACUCUUCGCUAUUCUUAUCAUUUCUCUUCUCCCCGAAAAAACUAGGGUUUCUCUGUAAAAGGCGAUUCUCGUGCGACGAAGACUCCCGGCGAUUUUCUCCAUCUAAUCGACCACAUAAUCUAUUAUCCACGAGCUCAGAUGGAUCCGGCAGAAGAUAGAAGCCAUGCAAAGAGGCAAGAUCACCACAUCAACAUGUUAGGGUUCCUGGCCGAUUCAGAGUACGGGAUUCCUAGAAGGUGUCCGUGUGGUGGGAGACUCAUUAAUGAGGUUCGCGGGAUUGAGAACCACGACACUCUUCCUGGGAAGCGGUUCUUCACGUGCAUAAACUAUGAGGCUGAUGGGUUCCAUUAUCGUCAGCCUUGGGUGAUAGGUAUGCAGGAGGAGCUCGAAAGGCUGACUCAACGGGUGGAGGAGGCUGAGCAGGUGAUAAUGGGGAUUCCGAAGCUCACUAAAUAGAUUGAGACGCUUGAGGAACAGGUGAAAUUCCUCACUGAUCAGGUCUAUGAGCUCACUGUGCAGAUCGCAAACCUCGAGAACGUCUGCUUCGAUUGACAUCCAAAAGGUCACGGGUUGGAAGGUUUUUGGUGGUUGCGGUCAGUUGUAGCCACGGGUACUAGGAGUAGAUGUCAGUUUUUAAUCACGGGAAGUUUAGGCUUUUGUUUCAUUCUACACUUUGGCUUGUUGUGUUUUUAAAAUGUUGUAACUCUGCACUUGAUUCACGGAUGUACUAUAACUCUCUCUAUAUAAGCUUGUUGAAGCUUUGUGUUUUCAA